rnacentral:lncRNA from 1 species
CAUGCAGGGAACACCUACCUUGUUUAUGAGUAUGCAGAGAAUGGGGCUCUGAGAGACUGGCUUCAUGGUGAUGGUGAAACUUGUUCUACUCUGGGGUGGAAACAGAGGGUUCAAAUAGCCUAUGAUGCAGCGGAUGCCCUGAAUUACCUCCACAACUUCAUCAGUCCCCCAUGUAUACACAAGAACUUGAAGAUCAGCAACAUCCUCUUGGAUGGUAACAUGAGAGGCAAGGUCACCAAUUUUGGACUGGCAAGGCGAUUGGGGAAUGAAGAGGGAGAUGGAGGGGGGCUGCAACUGACGAGACAUGUGGUGGGGACUCAGGGUUACAUGGCUCCCGAGUACGUAGAGAAUGGUGUGGUUACCCCAAAACUAGAUAUUUUUGCUUUCGGUGUUGUGAUAUUAGAGCUGUUAACUGGCAAGGAAGCUGCGCCUUCUCAAAAGAAAGAAGGAGGGGAGUUGUUAUCUGUGUCAAUAAAUGAGGUGCUUCAAGGGGAUAAUGUGAGAGACAAACUGAGAGGCUUCAUUGAUCCUUGCCUUGCCCAUGAGUACCCCUUUGAUUUGGCUUUCUCCAUGGCCCAGCUCGCCAAGUCAUGUGUUGCCCAUGACCUUAAUGCUCGCCCAACCAUGUCUGACAUUUUCGUUAUCCUCUCCAAGAUUCUCUCCUCCUCUUUGGACUGGGAUCCAUCUGAUGAUUUUCAAGCCUCUGGCUCUCUAAGCCAUGGUAGAUAGGCAACCUUUAUUUUUUAUAUUUUUUGUUUUUUGGCGCAUCCAUAUAUCCUAUAUGGAAGUUUACAAUGAGACGAAUCCACUCACAAUAGUGGUGAUUUUGUGAGCUUCUGCUUGAUACAAGUCACACCUCGCACUUAUCGUUUUUUCUCCUCUAGAAACUAGAAAUGGAAUGUAAAAGUAGGCAUGAAGGAGCUGCCAUGCCAGAUGAAAUUACAGUGAUUGCAAUGAAAUUUAAAGUAUUAUCCGUGUUCCCCUGCUGGGGUUUAAAACAACUCACUCUGGAAAUUCAAACUGUCCUCUGUUUUAAUAAAGAGCAUAUGAAUACUUCUGCAUGCAAUUGGUAAAAUUGACAGAUAUGCUUCCAUCUCAAGCAAACUUACAUGCUAUUUUUCACUUUGCAUGGUUGCUCUUUCAUCUAGUUUUAAGAUUUGGAUGAAAUGCUGGGAAAUCAUGUAGGGUGUCAAGUUUGGUUGGGCACUGUAAACCACCGGGCAAUCAGCUUUGAGAGGAUUCAUUCAGUAAAGUGAGAUUGUCAAUUGACAGGCUAGUUGGAGGGAAUCGUUUGUAGCUGAGGUCUGAGAUCAUGCAUGAAGUUGCUGGGUUAUCUGAUUGAUCUUGUCGUAGAAAAUGACAUGAGGAGGGCAUACUUAUCUUAAUCUUGAUUCCAAGAUGGAUGGCGUUUCUUUUCUAUUUCAGCAACUACCCUUAAUCUUGUCAUCUUGGUUCUAGCAGGUGAAGAUGCCACUGCUUUUUCCUGUGUGUCCAAGUCAGGGUUUUUUUUUUUUCUGACAGAUGUUGUAACAUCAGCAUUCUCUGACCAUUUGGAGUUUUAAUCCUCUAGUGUUUCAAACUUUCCCUCCAAUUUGAAGACUCUGAAUACAUGCUGUAGCUUCACAACCAGGCGGUAGAUGUUGGCUGUGAUAUUUUGGGCCUACCAUCAUUUGCAGACAUAUCACAGACAGGAGAAUUCAAGAUGAAUUAUUCCUCAAUCUCAAGAUUAUGUUCUUGCUCAGGCCUUGUCAGGUGUGACCUUAUAUUAUUCUAAUUUCUACAUGCAGGGCAGAUGCUCAGUAUAAACCCUGCCUGCUUCUCCUUCAUCCGCAUCCACGUGUUCCUUGCCUCGCUCCACAUUUCCAAUAUCUCCAGCAAGUAUGACAUUUCUUAAUUUAAGAAGUGCUCUGCAUACAAAGAACCUUAGAAUGAAACAAACAUCUCAUAAAAGUAGAAAUACAGGUUUUUCUUGGUAAGAGAAAAAAGAAGAAAAAUUAUUUAGAGAAAGAACGCUUUAAAUUGUAUUAUUGCGAGUCAUGGGGGAAUCCAAGUCAUUUUUAUGGUUUCCAAAGAACGGUAGAGAACGGAUUGAAAUUUGGGGAGGUCAGCCCGGGGCUAUUCCUCUUGUUCUUCUUCUGGAAAGAGGAAUGUUCGUAAUAUACAUCAAUCAAUGUUAUGUGAAAACAAGAAGAAAAUACGUUAAUGGGAAAUAUGAAAACAAGUAAAUGCCGAGUUGGAGGAUGAAGAAAAACGAAAUUGGAGGCGAGGCCUUUACAGUUGCGUGAGGGCAUGGGGAGGAAGAGGCCAAUAGAUGGAGCAGUCAGCCGUCAAGGUCAAGGUGGGGGCAAAGCACUAGGACUUUGGAGUCAAGUCAGUCAAAUGAGCACUUAGGACUUUGGAGUCAAAUCAGUCAAAUAAGCACUCAGGAGGCUCUGAAUUGGAAUUCCACAGCACGGCAAGAGUUGCAGAUUAGAGACUCUUCUCUCCUGAUCUAUAACUAUUUAAGUAUGCUGUCUUGCAUGCACAUGCCCAUGUACACUCUGGAGAAUAUGCAUAAUAAUAGUCCAUCUCAUGUAAAAUGUUGGUGGUGGAGGGUGGUUCUCAUCCACUGGUUCUUGGUAUCAGGACUGCAGGCCCAACAAGCCUACCUCAACAACGAUCAGCUUGACUGCGACAACAACUCUAAUAAUACCAAGGGAUUCGUCUGCAACGGCCCUCGCAAAUAAUAUCUUUCCUACCUCACCUUUCGAUCCGCUCCACUAUCCUACGACUCCCCACCUUCCAUAGCCUAUCUCCUCAACUCCAACCCCUCUGAUAUCGCCACCAUUAACCAAAUCUCGGAUGUUAACAAGAUCCCCAAGGACACUGUCCUCAUUGUCCCGGUCAAUUGUUCUUGUUCAGGCCAUUUCUACCAGUACAACGCCUCCUACACCUUGAAGUAUGAUUUCGAGAAUUACUUCACCCUCGCCAACAACACCUACCAAGGCCUCACCACUUGCCAGGCACUCAAGGCUCACAACCCAUAUUACUAUCGAAACCUUUCCGUGGGUAUGGACCUGCUGGUUCCUCUCAUGUGCGCCUGCCCCACCGCCAACCAGACCGCCGCCGGCUUCAACUACUUGCUCACUUAUCUCGUUACUUGGGGCGAUUACAUCUCUUCAAUUGCAGAUACCUUCGGUGUCGAUGACAUACAGUCCAUAUUUGAUGCCAAUAGCCUCUCUUCCGACCUUAUUUUCCCCUUCACCCCAAUUCUUGUCCCGCUAAAGAAUCCUCCCACCAGGAUCCAAACUACCCUCUCUCCACCGCCUCCAAAAUCGCCCGUAGUCCCCAACGGUGGAGGGGCUGAUUCUUCCAAGAAAUGGGUUUACGUUGGGGUUGGGAUUGGAGCCACUUUACUCGUUCUUUUAAUGCCCUCCGGAAUUAUAUUAUGUCUACUUCGCCGCCGUCUCCAAUCUCGACAAGACAAGCCGGUCCCGGGAGCUGGAGGAGGCACGAAGAAGCCUUCGUACUCCAUGGAAAACAACAUAUCAUUAUCUGUUUCUUCAGGAGGCAUUCAUCACGCAGUAGAGUCCUUGACGGUGUACAAGUAUGAGGAGUUGCAAAAGGCAGCUGGAUUUUUCGGAGAAGCUAACAGAAUUAAGGGUUGUGUAUACAGGGGUUUGAUUAAGGGUGAUGAUGCGGCCAUAAAGAUGAUGAAAGGAGACGUGUCUGAGGAGAUCAAUAUACUGAAACUGAUCAAUCAUAGCAACGUGAUCAGGCUUUCAGGUUUCUGCGUACACAAGGGGAACACCUACCUAGUUUAUGAGUAUGCGGAGAAUGGGUCUCUCAGCGACUGGCUUCAUGGUGAUGGUCGAAUUGGUUCUACUCUGGGAUGGAAGCAGAGGGUUCAAAUAGCCUGUGAUGUGGCGAAUGCCCUGAAUUACCUCCACAACUUCACCAAUCCCCCAUGUAUACACAAGAACUUGAAGAGCAGCA